AGGAAUUCCUAGUAAGCGCAAGUCAUCAGCUUGCGUUGAUUACGUCCCUGCCCUUUUUUCAUUUUAAACGCUUGAUGUACAAGGGGUUCAAAGUGUCUUGGUAAAAGAUGCUAGUAGUGAACACGGUAUUACUAUUUGUCAACUUGCCAGACC
rnacentral:rRNA from 1 species